GAACGGAGCAAUCCGGUCC
rnacentral:snRNA from 1 species